GGGAGUUACCAUAUAGACCUUCGAGCGGUAACGGCCUCCGAUUAGGAAUUAGGGUUUGCUUUCGUCGUCGUCCUCCUCUUCUACCGCACGAUCGAAUCCCCCAUUCCCCAUCUCAUCCCCGAGGGUUUCCCAACAAUCCGAAAUUUCUUAUCAAUGGCGGGCGAAUCGGAUCCCUACCUCUCCCACUUCUCGGCUCCGGAGGUGCUCAAAUCUGGUGGAGUUCAUCCCCAACAUCAGAACGGAGUCCCUCCACAUGAUUCAUGUAAUUUGAGCUCUUUCUUGAUCUCUUUAUGCCUCUAAUUCUAUGGAUUGAUGGCGAUUUUGGUGUUAUGCGCCUGCCAAGAGGAUGUCGGCCUUUCUUUCCGCAAAUCGCGAGCGAUGGCUCUGAAGAAACGUGAAAAAUGCACCAUCCGUUCUCCCGAAUCGAUGUCGGUUGCUUUCCAUUGCAGGGAACAGUUCUGCCUUCCCUUCAUGUAGGACUCGUGUGAUCCACCGGUCUUCUUCCUCUCCCCUUGUAGCCCACCUCCGUCAUCUCUAUGCACAGGGCUGUGACGACGAUUGCUGCAAGAAAAGCAACGCCCUCGUGCUUCAGAGAGACCGGAACCUUGUGAUCUAUGGCCCAGCGCUUUGGGCCACCGGCACGAGAGUUCUGGUCUCUGCGGGUGUGGUGGUGACACAGAAGUCAACCAGUGCCGUCGGAAAGCCUAAGAACAAGAGCAUCUCCAUUCAUGGCAAAUGAAUCAAUUAGACCGAACAACGACAAAGGCUAGCUAUGUGUAUAUGAAGCGCUAUGCUCAGUGCAACUGUAACAGAAGUGAUAUCUUGGUAUCGUCGAACCCGAGGCAGCAGUAAAGAGACACCUCCUGCUGCUCAUUCUACAGUAACAUCGCAUGCGACGAAUUCAGAAGUACGCUUCAGUGAUAAAUAACGAUGAACAGUAGCAACAGCAUUUGCAAAAAGCUCGGAGGAGGCAGACCACCAACGGGCAUCGGCGUCGCCUCUCGUGUCGCAGACCUUCGUCGGUCUUAUCCUUGGAUCUUUCGUUUCUCUUGUUGUAAGUAGCACUUCGAUUCUUUCGUCCGUCUGUUGCUCGACGAAAUGCCAGCAAGACCUUGUUCGCCUUUGCGGACUUCACCACCCGUGUAUCCUCCCACAGCCCACGAGACGACCUCAAGUAGCAAGCUGGGACAAUUUGAGUCGAUUUUUCAGUUCUUUCGUUAUGGGACUUGCGCAAUGGAGCUCCACCUCUCUGCUCCCUCCGUUGUCCCGUCUCAGUUCCUCUUUCUACGUUCCUCUUUCUCCUCUCCAUGCAGCUUGGGCUAUGAUGGCGACGAUUCUCUUGGGCAGAUGCUGGAGGCGCUUCCUUGGUCUUUCCACGUCCGCUCUCUCUUUUUACGUCUUCAGUAUACUGUACCUGUGGGAAUCUGUAUCACCAUGAUUCAACAAGGUAGCCAUGCUUCCAGGUGCUGUGUGUGUCUGUUAGUUGCAUGCUUGUGACUUGUCUUUGGUUGCAGCCACUCCUUCAAUGCUGAAUGCCGUCCUCAAUACUGAGUGAGCAUUGCUUCUAUAUGGUCUUUUAUAGGUGAGAAAUCUGUUUCUAGGUGCUAUGUGCCUCUGUUAGUUGCACACUUGUGACUUGUCUUUUAUUGUAGCCGAUCCGUUAGUACUGGAUGUCAUCCUCAAUCAGUGAGCAUUGCUUCUAUAUGUUCUUUUGCA